CUUGGGUCUUGUUUCAGUAUUACAGACAGAAGCAAGCGAAGACGAUAGAAAACUUCUUCAGAGAAACUUAAGGCUACUUUCAGGAUUCUGUUACUAAAGCUUCAAAAUGGUUGACAGAAAUAUUGCACUGGAAGCCUUGUGCACGCUUUGUAAUGCCAAUGUAACAUCUGUACAAAAGCAAAGCGUACAAGCUCAAUCUUUCAGAGGAACACCACCACAGCAGUCUCUCAAGAUCAAGAAUUUCAUUAGCACAGUCCUGGAUGCAGAUGAAACCAGCCAGGUGUCAAGGUCCAACUUUGAGUGCAUAAAAACAGUCCUGCAAAGUGGAGGACAUGCAACCAGCCAUUCUAGAGUAAAUCCACAAGAACAACAUGAUACAACAAAAAAUCACGUCAUCAAUGAAGAUGAAUUCUUUGACAAUCAGUAUGACUAUGAUUUUGCCAACCUGAAAGACACAGAGACUUAUACCAGAGGUGGAGAAGUGUAUGAACGUCCAAGUGGUUGGUACGGGUUUGGCCUCAAGGUCCUGGAUAAGUACGAGUCAAAUGCAUGGCUGGGAACCCGGUUCCGUAGCACACAGUCAGUACCAGGCGAGUGGCCCGUGUCCUACCAUGGGACAACGAAGAGAGGAGCUGAAGGCAUCAUUGAAGGAUUUUACAAGAUGAAGGAGUUCUGCUGCCGCUAUAACUAACUAAUCAACUGUUGCAAGGCAGAGUUUUUCUACAUCUUCUGCUGUCAGCCUCGUCUGUCUGCUUCAGCUCCCUCUGAGGUUCCUGUUUCUGCAGAAUCAGGUCCAGGCCAGGUAUAUGGCAAAGGGAUUUAUUCUACUCCAUACAUCAGCGAAGCUGAGCUGUAUGCAAAAACAUUCACUUCAAACAAGAAUGGAAAGCAGUACAAAGUGAUUCUGCAGAAUCGGAUCAACCCCAAAUACAGACAGAAGUACAACAACCAGAAAUACUGGUUGGUUCCCAUACCGGAUAACUCAUCAGCUCAAGAUGAGCGGGUCAUGGUGGAACAGGCCAUCCGCCCUUAUGGCCUUCUGCUGAAAGAAGUAACAGUGGAAAAAGACUACAUGUGCCAACUGAUUUGGAAAAUGCAAACCAGAAAUUCUCUUUCACAUUAAUUAUCAUUUCUGUUUUGACCAGGAAUGUACAUUGUAACUUCCCUUUGAAUUAGUGAAUUAACUUAAUGAAGUAUUUUUAUUUUACCCAUGAAAUGUAUGGAAAUAAAGGAAUGAUGCUUCAUGUCUCAAAUUGA